GUGGGGAAUCUUGCGCAAUGGGCGAAAGCCUGACGCAGCCAUGCCGCGUGAAUGAUGAAGGUCUUAGGAUUGUAAAAUUCUUUCACCGGGGACGAUAAUGACGGUACCCGGAGAAGAAGCUCCGGCUAACUUCGUGCCAGCAGCCGCGGUAAUACGAAGGGGGCUAGCGUUGCUCGGAAUUACUGGGCGUAAAGGGCGCGUAGGCGGACAGCUUAGUCAGAGGUGAAAGCCCAGGGCUCAACCUUGGAAUUGCCUUUGAUACUGGCUGUCUUGAGUUUGGGAGGGGUGAGUGGAACUCCGAGUGUAGAGGUGAAAUUCGUAGAUAGUCGGAAGAACACCAGUGGCGAAGGCGACUCACUGGCCCAAUACUGACGCUGAGGCGCGAAAGCGUGGGGAGCAAACAGGAUUAGAAACCCGUGUAGUCC
rnacentral:rRNA from 1 species